rnacentral:rRNA from 1 species
UAUGAACGCUGGCGGCGUGCCUAAUACAUGCAAGUCGAGCGAACAGAUAAGGAGCUUGCUCCUUUGACGUUAGCGGCGGACGGGUGAGUAACACGUGGGUAACCUACCUAUAAGACUGGGAUAACUUCGGGAAACCGGAGCUAAUACCGGAUAAUCUUUCGAACCGCAUGGUUCGAUAGUGAAAGAUGGUUUUGCUAUCACUUAUAGAUGGACCCGCGCCGUAUUAGCUAGUUGGUAAGGUAACGGCUUACCAAGGCGACGAUACGUAGCCGACCUGAGAGGGUGAUCGGCCACACUGGAACUGAGACACGGUCCAGACUCCUACGGGAGGCAGCAGUAGGGAAUCUUCCGCAAUGGGCGAAAGCCUGACGGAGCAACGCCGCGUGAGUGAUGAAGGUCUUCGGAUCGUAAAACUCUGUUAUUAGGGAAGAACAUACGUGUAAGUAACUGUGCACGUCUUGACGGUACCUAAUCAGAAAGCCACGGCUAACUACGUG